rnacentral:rRNA from 1 species
UACGUAGGGGGCAAGCGUUGUUCGGAAUUACUGGGCGUAAAGCGCACGUAGGCGGCUUGGUAUGUCGGGUGUGAAAUCCCCGGGCUCAACCUGGGAACUGCAUCCGAAACUGCCUUGCUAGAGUAUGGGAGAGGGAAGUGGAAUUUCCGGUGUAGCGGUGAAAUGCGUAGAUAUCGGAAGGAACAUCAGUGGCGAAGGCGACUUCCUGGACCAAUACUGACGCUCAGGUGCGAAAGCGUGGGGAGCAAACAGG